rnacentral:rRNA from 1 species
GACGAACGCUGGCGGCGUGCCUAAUACAUGCAAGUCGAGCGGACCGAACGAGGGCUUGCUCUUGUUUGGUCAGCGGCGGACGGGUGAGUAACACGUGGGCAACCUGCCCGCAAGACCGGGAUAACUCCGGGAAACCGGAGCUAAUACCGGAUAACACCGAAGACCGCAUGGUCUUCGGUUGAAAGGCGGCCUUUGGGCUGUCACUUGCGGAUGGGCCCGCGGCGCAUUAGCUAGUUGGUGCGGUAACGGCUCACCAAGGCGACGAUGCGUAGCCGGCCUGAGAGGGUGACAGGCAACACUGGGACUGGGACACGGCCCAGACUGCUACGGGAGGGAGCAGUAGGGAAUCUUCCGCAAUGGGGGAAAGCCUGACGGAGCGACGCCGCGUGAGCGAAGAAGGCCUUCGGGUCGUAAAGCUCUGUUGUGAGGGACGAAGGAGCGCCGUUCGAAGAGGGCGGCGCGGUGACGGUACCUCACGAGAAAGCCCCGGCUAACUACGUGCCAGCAGCCGCCGUAA